CGACGUGUCACUAAUUCUGUUUUUGACUAAUGUUUUAAAGUACUCGGAGGAGUUUCUGCAAUAAUCUUUAAAUGUAUCGCAGUUUCGAAUUUCUUCAGGUAAAGAAUGGAACACUCGAGCUGGUCGAUCUUGGAAGGUUCCAGAGAUAAUAGGGACUACUAGACGCCGGGCAGAUGAUGAUCGUAAUGUUCUUAUAGGAAUAUAUUCCUCUAAUUUUAAGUAUGAAGGCCAGUCAUCACAAUUCAUUGCUUUGUAUGC